rnacentral:rRNA from 1 species
AUGACGUUGGGGGAGAAGGGCAAGGGCGGCGCUCAAGGGCGUGCUCACGCCGACGGCAGGGGCGGACCCUGCACAAGGGGGCGUUGGCCGCGGGCUGAGCAACGCUGCCAUCAGCAAGCUCUCAAGCUGCUCGACGGAAUGCCAGAGAAGGGAUGGAGAGAGAGGGGAGAUGCUGACGAGUGGGCCUAUAUCAACUUAACAGUCCAUGUGACGAUGUUGACUUUCCUUGCCACGUCAUCACUUACAUAUGGGACCCAGUUGUCAGGUUUUGCAUCAAAUACCUCUAAUCCAUCCAUCAGUGUUUUUUGA